AUCUCCUGCUAGGACCAUCAAAACAAUAACAGAUAUGAAAUUCGAGUUCACAAAAUUUGAAAUAUACAAAGUUAUUGAAGAAGCCUUAUACACAUUCCACCGCAGAAAUCAUCACAAUUCCAUACAGAGAAAGAGAGUACCUUAGAUACUUUGAGGUCUGUAAUGUGGGCCCACGUAUUUCGAACAAAGCGCAAUAACUCUUUGAAAGGAGAACCAGACUUGUACUUUUGAACCACUUUCUUACCGAGCCUCUUCUCUA
rnacentral:lncRNA from 1 species